rnacentral:snRNA from 1 species
GGAUGUGAGGGCGAUCUGGCUGCGACAUCUGUCACCCCAAUGAUCGCCAGGGUUGAUUCUGCUGAUCUGGCUGGCUAGGCGGCUGUCCCCUUCCUCCCUCACAGCUCCGUGUGCAUCCCUCCCAAAGCUGCGUGCUCGUUGAAGACGACGACCAUCCCUGAUAGAGAAGGACCGGUCUUCAGUCAAGGGUAUAGGAGUAGCUGUGCUCUCCUGCUAGAACCUCCAAACAAGCUCUCAAAAUGAACUAGAAAGUAUAUAAUAUGCUAUUACUUAUGUUCCUUAAUACUUUUCAGAAUAGGAAAAACUUUCUUUUACA